rnacentral:lncRNA from 1 species
GGAAAAUCCAGAAGAAAUUCUUAGAGAGGCACAGAGUCCUUCUCCACCACAUGGCUUAGAAGCCCAAUUUCAAAAUGGCGUCAGUGGAGAUUCUACCUACGAGUCACAGUCUGAGGGAGAAGAAUCAGACAUUGAAAUUCAGGAGUUACAGAGAAAUUUUAACAGGCUGCGUUUAACACCGCCUGCCCAGGCUAUUAGAAUUUGGCCAUUAUCUGCUAAAAGGACAAAAUUUAACAGGUACGCUGAAUUAACAAUGACUUUUCUUACCCUGUUCCAGUGAGGUAUUAAGAAGGCACAAGAGGCAGGGGAAGAUAUUAGUGGUUUUCAACUUUUCCCAGUUUUUGAACAAGUUAAUGAACAGGACCAGAGAGUUCGAGUUCAUGCUGUAAUCCCAUUUGAGACUAUUAAGGAAUUGAAAAGUGCUUGUGAGACGUAUGGUCCAAAUACUCCCUUUUGUACAGAACUUAAUUGAUAAUAUUUCUUCACAACCACUUCCACCUAGUGAUUGGAUUUCGUUAGCCAGAUCUUGUUUGAGUGGAGGGGAUUUCUUACUUUGGCAUUCUUAUUGGACUGAUUUUUGUACUGAACAAGCAGAAAAAAAUAGAAAACAAAAUUUACAGACCGCAGUGGAAAUGUUUUUAGGAACAGGUGAAUUUGCUGAUUUGGAAAGACAGUUAAGUUAUGAAUUUGUGGUUUAUGAUCAGAUAACUGACUGUGCUAAAUGUGCCUGGAAACAAAUAGUCUCCAAGGACCAGUCCAAUUUAGUUCUUACCAGAGUCAAGCAGGGUGCGAGUGAACCGUAUUCAGAUUUUG